GGGCACAUGGUGUAGUUGGUUAUCACGCUCGCUUAGCAUUAGUUCUGGUCUGCGAGAGGUGUUGGGUUCAAUUCCCAAUGUGUCCA